AGGGAGACAGGAAAAAAUCCGCCUGCAGUUAUGCAACAAGGUUUUUGUGCUCGGAUCAUAAUCAUUAUAAGACUUCCACUUAUGUUGGUAAAAAUUUCUGAAGGGAGGAAGGCCCAAUUUGCGGCGUAAGCGCCCUCGCUUAUAGCUUGACUGGCAAUCAAUACCUCAUUUGCUGUCAAAGUUAUUGCAAAGAGUUGGAAGAAGCAUCCGUUGAACAUUUGAAAUCCAGCUACGCAAAGCAUCACGCUUGAUAUUAACAAUUGGCACAACAUCGUUUUUCAAUGAUACGUUAACGCCCCAAUCAAAAAUCGUCUCGAGCUUGUGCUGUAGUAUUUUGAAUUGACCGGCGGCGUGCAUGCUUAAGAGGCAUAAAAAAUUAUCGAAACAGGCAAAACAAACGGCGGUGUGUAUCAGGGCGAGAGUCUGCGAAAUGAAAUAUCUCUGGAAAAAAAUCAAUUUGAAAUAUCGAUGGAUAUUAAUUGUUAUUGGGAGAAAUUUAUAAAGUGACAACGAUUGAAAAUCUUCUGAAACAACAGUCGAAGCUUAAUGCGAUU